rnacentral:rRNA from 1 species
CCUACGGGAGGCAGCAGUGAGGAAUAUUGGUCAAUGGACGAGAGUCUGAACCAGCCAAGUAGCGUGAAGGAUGACUGCCCUAUGGGUUGUAAACUUCUUUUAUAAAGGAAUAAAACGAGGCACGUGUGCCUUUUUGCAUGUACUUUAUGAAUAAGGAUCGGCUAACUCCGUGCCAGCCGCCGCGGUAAUACGGAGGAACCGAGCGUUAUCCGGAUUUAUUGGGUUUAAAGGGAGCGUAGAUGGGUUGUUAAGGAAGUUGUGAAAGUUUGCGGCUCAACCGUAAAAUUGCAAUUGAUACUGGCAGUCUUGAGUACAGUUGAGGUAGGCGGAAUUCGUGGUGUAGCGGUGAAAUGCUUAGAUAUCACGAAGAACCCCGAUUGCGAAGGCAGCUUACUAAACUGUGACUGACAUUGAUGCACGAAAGUGUGGGUAUCAAACAGGAUUAGAUACCCGGGUAGUC